AACAUUUGCAACUCGAAGGUUAAUAUUAGAUAAUACUCUUACCAGUUUUGAGAUGUUUCAUGGACUCUAUCAACGUCAACUAAUCUUGUAAAAAUUAAUUACAUGAACUGACUAUCUUCUUGAGUUUCCAGUUUCCAUGCGUUUAUUUGUAAAUUGACUAAUCUUUUUUUUGUAGUUUUAGAAGAAUAGAAGAUGCUCUUCUGACUUUUCGAUUCUUGUCUAAGAAGAAGUCUUUUCUAUUAUAUCUACGGUUUGGUCCAAAUCCUUCGUAGUUUUAAUAUAUCUUAUAUAAUAUAACAAGGUUUUUUCUAACUUUUCUCCACGUUACGACAUUUGGCGCUCUAUGUUGAUAACAUGUGUCAUCUUUUAUUUUUAAUUAAUUCUUUUCAUUUUUAUUUUUAACUAAAACAUUUAUAGCAAUUUUAAUUCCAAAUAACCAUAUAAUUAGGUAAAAAUUAAAAUAAAAUUAUUAUGAAAAAAUUAUUAUGAGUAAAAUUAUUAAUUGGGAUCCAAAAUUCAUUUCUGUAAAGCAAAAGAUAUAACUAAAGUUUUAUAACCAAAUCACAUAUUGCAUAUGAUAUAUCACAUAUAUAUGUAUAUAUGAUUUACUAUCACAUAAUUAAAACAUCUAUUUUACAUAAUUUUCUUACAUUUUAUUUAAAUUUUCAUCCAUCAUAUUUAUUUUAUUAUAAAAUACUCUUUUCUUUUUUCACUUUAAUGAUGGAAGAAACUUAAAUAAAAUGUAUGCAAAUUGAGUAAAGUAGAUGUUUUAAUUAUUUGAUAGUAAAUCAACAAUUGUGGGAGUUAAUUCUUAUUAAUUUUGUGUUGAAUCAAAUUGAGUAGAGAAAUAUAGUUAAUGCAAAUUUUUAUAAUUUCAGUUCUUAUAUUAAAGUGUGAGUUAAAUCUAGAGAUCUAAUUAAUUGUGUUUUAAUUGAAUAUAUAUUUUUCAGUUUUAAAAUUAAAGUGAGAGAUAAAUAUAUAUGAUCAAUUUUGUUUUUUUUUUUUCAACGAAAAACUUUAUUGAUUAAGAAUUAAUAAUGUCAGCAUACAAUUGAUUCUGCAACCAUCGAGGUCGACAAACACCCGUACAUAAGAAAUUGCUAUCUAGAACACCAAACUUAGCAAGGAGAUGGCCAGCUUCAUUACAACUACGCUUAGCAAAGACAAAAUUUAUAUCAAAAAAAGAAAUAGUCCAUUGUAAGAUAUCUCGGCAGAUCCCUGCAAUUAAGGCAUUGUGAGUUUUCCCUUGAAGCAUAUCUAUUAAGUCAGAACAGUCACUCUCCAAAAAGACUUGGCGAUAUCCUCGAAUCCAGAUUUGUUGAAUCGCAGCUAGGAACGCCUUUGCUUCUGCUUCAAUAGGUGUGGAUGAGUUUGGAAGAAGAGAAGAUCCCCAACAUCUAGGAUUACAUUCAUUGUCUCGUAAAAUCCAACCACAAGAUGUUCUGUAAGUAUAAGGAUCAAAAGCUGCGUCUACAUUACACUUCAUAAAAGGCAAAUGGGGUCUACUCCAAGUAAUUUUAUGAUACUGAAUUGGGAUAUGAUUAAUAUUAGAUGGGAUCGCUGGAGUUGUAGGUGUGAUCCAUUCGGAAACAUCUGCUUGAGCUUUAAUAAUAGUAUGAUAGAUACUUUGUUGAAUUUGGUUAAAAGUUAGAUCAUUUCUUGAUUUCCAAAUAUGCCAUAAUAGCCAAAAAGGUAAAAGCUUUUGUUAUUGAGAUACUCCUACAGCAAUUUGCAAUUGUAAGAUGUCCGAAAUGUGGUUCUCAGUUGACUUAUUAUCAUUGUAAAGAGAGACUAAGGGAGUGUUUGUUUUAUAUCAGUUGACUUAUGAUCAAUUUUGUUUUAUAUGUGGAUUGUUUCACUAUCUUCUUAUUGGUCUACUUUUCUAUAAAAUAUAUAUUUUUUUUAAAUUAUGUUUUCAACUAAACCAAAAAUAAAACACAUUUAGUUAUAUAUAUAUUAAACUGACACUUUAAUAUAAAACUAAAGAAAAAAAUAUUUUAAUUAAGCCAUAAAUAAAAAACUUUGAUCAUCUAUACUUAUAUUCAAUUAAAACACAAUUAAUUAUAUACAUUUAACUCAAACUUUAAUAUAAAAACUGAAAUAAUAUAAAUUUGCAUUCACUAUACUUUUCUACUCAAUUUUAGUCAACACUCAAUAAAUUAGAAUUAAUUAACUCCCACAAUUUUUUCUUCAAAAUCGGAACUCUCAUCACUUCUCAUCUUAUAAAUACUCAUUUUCUCAUUCUCUCAUUCCCUCAUCCUCUUCCACUUUACCUCAAAUCUUCUAUAAUUGAGUUUGUUUUGUUUUCUGUUUUUUUUUUGUUGGUUGUUUGUUGUUGUAUGAGUUGAAAAAUAAAUUUAAUUUGCAUUGUAAAAGUUUAAUCUAAAUUUUAAUUUUAUAUGACACUAUUUCAUCUCUAUUGUCUAUUUUAGAUUACCAUCUUUAAUCUCUCUCCUCUCUCGUUCUCUUUCAGUACAUUCAUGUAUCUUAAAUAUUUUUCUAUUUUUGUGUUGUUAUAUGGACUGAAAAUCAAUAAAACUAUCAUUUUAAGAAUUUGAUCUUAAUUUAUUUUAGAAAGUAUGAUAUAUAUCAAAUAUAGUUUCAAUUUUUAUUUCUAAUGCCUAAUUAUGCAUACUUUUUUCAAUUUUUAUUUCUAAUGCCUUAUUAUACAUAUGUUUUCAUACUUAUGAGUAUGAAUGAAGAAAGUAUGAUAUAACACAUAUGUAAAAUAAAGUUUUGAUUGUUAUAUAAAUAAAAUUUGCAAUUUAAACUUUUAACAAAUAACUUCUUCUAUGUUUUUAAAAAUCUCAAAUAAUAUUUUUUAAUUCAUUUCAAUAUAUGUAUAAUUAUAUUUAGUUUGUGAUCCAAUAGAUUAUUAUAAUAUUUAAUUUAUUUAAAAUUUGAGGUCGAACUGUUUAAAAAGAAACCAAAAAGUACUUGGUUUUAAAAAUUGGUCGUUAAUUUUUUUUUAAUCAUACAGUUCAUAAAAGUUAAAUUUAGUUUAAUUCAUUCAUCAAUUGAACAAGGUAUUUUCUAACUUUUCACCACGUUACGACAUUUGGCGCUCUCUGUUGAUGACACGUGUUAUCCUUUAUUUUUAAUUAAUUAUUUUUAUUUUUUUCUAACUAAACAUUUAUGUCAAUCUUAUUUCCAAAUAAUCAUAUAAUUAGGUAACAAUUAAAACAAAAUUAUUAUGAAAAAAAUAUUAUGAGUAAAAUUAUUAAUUGGGAUCCAAAAUUCAUUUGUGUAAAGCAAAAGGUAUAACUAAAGUUUUUUUUCCUAUAAAUAUAACUUGACAUCUACUUCUGAAUCCAAUUUUUAAUACCUAAAGUUCUUUUGCCAAAAAGAAGAAGAUUAUAUAUAAUAAAUUUUCAUAUUGCAUAUGAUAUAAAAUCAUAUAUAUAUAUAUAUAUAUAUAUGUGUAUAUAUGAUUUACUAUCAUAUAAUUAAAACAUCUAUUUUACAUAAUGUUUUACAUUUAUUUAAAUCCUAUUACAUUUUUAUUACAUUUUAUGAAUUAAUGAACUUCACUAAAAUCCUAUUAAAUUAUAAUAUUCAAUAAGGUAUGAGUUAUACAAUAAUAUCAUAUCCACCCUACACUCUACACUAAUAUCAUAUUUAAUCAUUUGUUCUAAAUAAUAGUCUUUCUUUUCAUAACAAUAUAAAUAUCUAACCGAAGUUAGAUUUUCCUAGAGAGACCAAACAUAAAUUCGAUUAUUUAAGAGCAUUUCAUGAUUGUUUUCAUGUACAUAUAAUAGACAGAUAUAUUCGUUCAUCUUCUUUGUUAAUGUUGAUGUAAACAUGUGAUGCCUUUUUAAUAUAAAUUCAUUUCUUUAGCUUUUUUAGUUAUGUAAAUCUUUAUGUUUGUUCUUAAAUGGUUUCAAUAUUAGUUUUAUUCUUGAACAAAUUCUACAUAAAAUAACUCAUAAUAAAUAAAAAAGGAUCUCAUCUACGUAUAUGUGAGCUUCUUUUCUAAUCAAUUAGAAUGAAAAAUAUCAAAGUUCUUUUUUCAAAUAAUCUUCAUCUGUUCAUUUGGCUUUUGCUUUAUCUUUUUAGUGUUUACAUAAUUAUAGUUUUAAAGCUCUUAUAUCUCAGGUGAAAUAUUUUCUAAAUUGAAAAAAAAACUCUAAGUAAGGUCUAAAAAAAUCAUAUUUCUUAGGUGAAAUAUUUUAAAUUGAUAAUUUGCAAAGUUUAAUAUUAACUAAUACUCAUAAAUUAUGUGAGUUUUUCUUUACUUUUAAUAUUAACAAUGUACACACAAAAAAAUUAACAUCAUUUACAAUUGCCUACUAUAUUAUGUAUGUGCUAAUUUGUAGUACUUUGUUUUGAUCUCAUUCGGUUUCAUAUUUUUAAAAUAUAUAUUUUAUUUACUUUUACUGUUUAUAAUGUACACAAAUAUGUUUUAUAUUAACAAUUACUUAUAAACUAUACAUAUCUUAAUGUAAUUUUCAAUUUAUAUUUCAAAUUAAUAUUUCAUAUAUAACCCACGCAUCGCGUGGGCAACUUUCUACUAUAUCAUACAAGAUCGAUAGCUUUGCUCACUAUAAUGUUCACUUAAGAUCGAUAGGUUUGCUCAUUAAGAAAAACAAAUAAGCCAACAUGGAAACUGGGUUACGUACGUACAUUGUGGAUAUAUAUUAAUGAUUAUAAUUCACCCUUAGGUUUUUUUUUUUUAAGAGACGACGAUAUCGAUGUUCGAUUAUAUAUGUAGAGAAGAGAAUGGUUGGGAUCGGAAGAUUCGAGCACGUUGAGUAAUCCAUGCUUUUAAGUGUGAACCUGGGAACUCUCAAGAUUCGAGCCGUACUCCACUACCCAUAUGCAUCAUGAACUACAUUUCACGGAUUCAUAUAGAAGAGCGUGCGUUCUCUAUCAUCUUUAUCUCUAUAACACUUGUUUUCUUUUCGUGUGUAUAGGAUUGAACCACCGUCGUGAAAAAUAUAAAAACCCCCAAUGUAUUCGUAAGAAAAUAUCUGCAACAAGGGCAUUGUUAAGGGCAGGCCAACCUGUCACGAUUCUUUCUUUAUAACAUAAAUUGUAUAAAAUUUCCAAUAUUCCAAUAUAUAGAAGGGUUUCGGAACUUGAUUCAGUAUAUUGAUUUCGUGAUUUUCGUACCUACGUCAGCUUUCCUUGAUAUAUUGAAUACUUGGCCAUACCUAUAUAUUCAUGAUUCAAAAGUGAACUUGGGAACUCCAUAGAUUCCAUCACUACUCUAUAUAGGACCCAUACCUCAUCA
rnacentral:lncRNA from 1 species